GACACUCUAAAUUUAAUUUAGAGCUGUAAAACCUCGUGAUUUUAGCUGCCAUUUGCAAACCUAUUGUUUUUUGUAGC